GAACAUAUUGCUUCAGCUGUGCAUAUAUUAAAACUGGAACAAUACAGGGAAGGUUUGGCCCCUGCAGAAUGAUGACAUGCUAAUUUGUGAAGCAUUCCAUAUUCUU